rnacentral:rRNA from 1 species
GUAGUCCACGCCGUAAACGAUGCUAACUCGUUUUUGGGGCUUUAAGCUUCAGAGACUAAGCGAAAGUGAUAAGUUAGCCACCUGGGGAGUACGGACGCAAGUCUGAAACUCAAAGGAAUUGACGGGGGCCCGCACAAGCGGUGGAUUAUGUGGUUUAAUUCGAUGAUACGCGAGGAACCUUACCAAGGCUUAAAUGGGAAAUGACAGGUUUAGAAAUAGACUUUUCUUCGGACAUUUUUCAAGGUGCUGCAUGGUUGUCGUCAGCUCGUGCCGUGAGGUGUUAGGUUAAGUCCUGCAACGAGCGCAACCCCUGUCACUAGUUGCCAUCAUUAAGUUGGGGACUCUAGUGAGACUGCCUACGCAAGUAGAGA